UACGAAGGGGGCUAGCGUUGCUCGGAAUUACUGAGCGUAAAGGGCGCGUAGGCGGCGUUUUAAGUCGGGGGUGAAAGCCUGUGGCUCAACCACAGAAUGGCCUUCGAUACUGGGACGCUUGAGUAUGGUAGAGGUUGGUGGAACUGCGAGUGUAGAGGUGAAAUUCGUAGAUAUUCGCAAGAACACCGGUGGCGAAGGCGGCCAACUGGACCAUUACUGACGCUGAGGCGCGAAAGCGUGGGGAGCAAACAGG
rnacentral:rRNA from 1 species